CCUGACUGCUAUCGGAUUGAUACUAAGCCAUGCGAGUCAUCGUAGCAAUACAAGGCAUACGGCUCAGUAACGCGUAGUCAACCUAACCUAUGGACGGGAAUAACCUCGGGAAACUGAGAAUAAUGCCCGAUAGAACACUAUACCUGGAAUGGUUUGUGUUCCAAAUGAUUUAUCGCCAUAGGAUGGGACUGCGGCCUAUCAGUUUGUUGGUGAGGUAAUGGCCCACCAAGACUAUUACAGGUACGGGCUCUGAGAGGAGUAGCCCGGAGAUGGGUACUGAGACACGGACCCAGGCCCUAUGGGGCGCAGCAGGCGAGAAAACUUUGCAAUGUGCGAAAGCACGACAAGGUUAAUCCGAGUGAUUUGUGCUAAACGAAUCUUUUGUUAGUCCUAGAAACACUAACGAAUAAGGGGUGGGCAAGUUCUGGUGUCAGCCGCCGCGGUAAAACCAGCACCUCAAGUGGUCAGGAUGAUUAUUGGGCCUAAAGCAUCCGUAGCCGGCUCUGUAAGUUUUCGGUUAAAUCUGUACGCUUAACGUACAGGCUGCCGGGAAUACUGCAGAGCUAGGGAGUGGGAGAGGUAGACGGUACUCGGUAGGAAGUGGUAAAAUGCUUUGAUCUAUCGAUGACCACCUGUGGCGAAGGCGGUCUACCAGAACACGUCCGACGGUGAGGGAUGAAAGCUGGGGGAGCAAACCGGAUUAGAUACCCGGGUAGUCCCAGCUGUAAACUAUGCAAACUCAGUGAUGCAUUGGCUUGUGGCCAAUGCAGUGCUGCAGGGAAGCCGUUAAGUUUGCCGCCUGGGAAGUACGUACGCAAGUAUGAAACUUAAAGGAAUUGGCGGGGGAGCACCACAAGGGGUGAAGCCUGCGGUUC
rnacentral:rRNA from 1 species